GAGUUUGAUCCUGGCUCAGGAUGGACGCUGGCGGCGUGCUUAACACAUGCAAGUCGAACGAAGCGGCUGCAGGGAUUCCCUUCGGGGAGGAACAGUAGCUGUCUGAGUGGCGGACGGGUGAGUAACGCGUGGGCAACCUGCCCCAUACCGGGGGAUAACAGCCGGAAACGGCUGCUAAUACCGCAUACGCCCAGGAGGCUGCAUAGCUUCCUGGGGAAAACUCCGGUGGUAUGGGAUGGGCCCGCGUCUGAUUAGCUCGUUGGCGGGGUAACGACCCACCAAGGCGACGAUCAGUAGCCGGCCUGAGAGGGCGGCCGGCCCCAUUGGGACUGAGACGGGGCCCCGACUCCUGCGGGAGGCAGCAAUGGGGAAUAUUGCACAAUGGGGGAAACCCUGAUGCAGCGACGCCGCGUGAGCAAUGAACUAUCUCGGGAUGUAAAGCUCGAUCGCCCGGGAGGAAGGUGACGUUACCUGAGGAGGAAGCCCCGGCUGACUGCGUGGCCGCAACCGGGGCUGGACGAGGGGGGGGAGCGUUAUCCGGAUUCACUGGCGUGUCACGGAAGCGUAGCAGGUUGGCCCCGUCUGCAGUGAGACCACCGCGGCGGAGAACGGGCCCAGCUUCGGACGCCGCACCCCGCGACACCAGCAGCGGCCAC
rnacentral:rRNA from 1 species